rnacentral:rRNA from 1 species
GAUGACGCUGGCGGCGUGCCUAAUACAUGCAAGUCGAGCGAACAGACGAGGAGCUUGCUCCUCUGACGUUAGCGGCGGACGGGUGAGUAACACGUGGAUAACCUACCUAUAAGACUGGGAUAACUUCGGGAAACCGGAGCUAAUACCGGAUAAUAUAUUGAACCGCAUGGUUCAAUAGUGAAAGACGGUUUUGCUGUCACUUAUAGAUGGAUCCGCGCCGCAUUAGCUAGUUGGUAAGGUAACGGCUUACCAAGGCAACGAUGCGUAGCCGACCUGAGAGGGUGAUCGGCCACACUGGAACUGAGACACGGUCCAGACUCCUACGGGAGGCAGCAGUAGGGAAUCUUCCGCAAUGGGCGAAAGCCUGACGGAGCAACGCCGCGUGAGUGAUGAAGGUCUUCGGAUCGUAAAACUCUGUUAUUAGGGAAGAACAAAUGUGUAAGUAACUAUGCACGUCUUGACGGUACCUAAUCAGAAAGCCACGGCUAACUACGUGCCAGCAGCCGCGGUAAUACGUAGGUGGCAAGCGUUAUCCGGAAUUAUUGGGCGUAAAGCGCGCGUAGGCGGUUUUUUAAGUCUGAUGUGAAAGCCCACGGCUCAACCGUGGAGGGUCAUUGGAAACUGGAAAACUUGAGUGCAGAAGAGGAAAGUGGAAUUCCAUGUGUAGCGGUGAAAUGCGCAGAGAUAUGGAGGAACACCAGUGGCGAAGGCGACUUUUCUGGUCUGUAACUGACGCUGAUGUGCGAAAGCGUGGGGAUCAAACAGGAUUAGAUACCCCUGGUAGUCCACGCCGUAAACGAUGAGUGCUAAGUGUUAGGGGGGUUUCCGCCCCUUAGUGCUGCAGCUAACGCAUUAAGCACUCCGCCUGGGGAGUACGACCGCNAG